UACGUAGGUGGCAAGCGUUGUCCGGAAUUAUUGGGCGUAAAGCGCGCGCAGGCGGCUUCUUAAGUCUGAUGUGAAAGCCCACGGCUCAACCGUGGAGGGUCAUUGGAAACUGGGGAGCUUGAGUGCAGAAGAGGAGAGUGGAAUUCCAUGUGUAGCGGUGAAAUGCGUAGAUAUAUGGAGGAACACCAGUGGCGAAGGCGACUCUCUGGUCUGUAACUGACGCUGAGGCGCGAAAGCGUGGGGAGCAAACAGG
rnacentral:rRNA from 1 species